GAUGAACGCUGGCGGCGUGCCUAAUACAUGCAAGUCGAACGAAACUUCUUUAUCACCGAGUGCUUGCACUCACCGAUAAAGAGUUGAGUGGCGAACGGGUGAGUAACACGUGGGCAACCUGCCCAAAAGAGGGGGAUAACACUUGGAAACAGGUGCUAAUACCGCAUAACCAUAGUUACCGCAUGGUAACUAUGUAAAAGGUGGCUAUACUACCGCUUUUGGAUGGGCCCGCGGCGCAUUAGCUAGUUGGUAGGGUAAAGGCUUACCAAGGCAAUGAUGCGUAGCCGAAUUGAGAGGUUGAUCGGCCACAUUGGGACUGAGGCACGGCCCAAACUCCUACGGGAGGCAGCAGUAGGGAAUCUUCCACAAUGGGCGAAAGCCUGAUGGAGCAACGCCGCGUGGGUGAAGAAGGUCUUCGGAUCGUAAAACCCUGUUGUUAGAGAAGAAAGUGCGUGAGAGUAACUGUUCACGUUUCGACGGUAUCUAACCGGAAAGCCACGGCUAACUACGUG
rnacentral:rRNA from 1 species